rnacentral:rRNA from 1 species
GACGAACGCUGGCGGCGUGCCUAAUACAUGCAAGUCGAGCGCAGAAGCUCUGUACUUGUACCAAGUGCAUGAGCAGCGAACGGGUGAGUAACGCGUGUGGAAUCUGCCUUUGAGCGGGGGACAACAUUGGGAAACGAGUGCUAAUACCGCAUAAAAACUUUAAACACAAGGUUUAAGGUUGAAAGAUGCAAUUGCAUCACGCAAACAUGAUCCCUCGUCGUAUUAGCUAGUUGGUGAGGUAAAGGCUCACCAAGGCGAUGAGACAUAGCCAAACUGACAGGGUGGUCGGCCACAUUGGGAGUGGGACCCGGGCCAAACUCCUACGGGAGGGAGCCGUAGGGAAUCUUCGGGCAUGGGGGGAAGUCUGAACGCGCAAGGCCGAGUCAGUGAAGAAGGUUUUCGGAUGCUAAAACUCUGUUGGUGGGGAAGAACGUUGGUGCGCGUGGAAAGCUCAUGAAGUGACGGUAACUACUCAGAAAGCGACGGCUAACUACGUG